GUCGAACGGUAGCACAGAGAGCUUGCUCUCGGGUGACGAGUGGCGGACGGGUGAGUAAUGUCUGGGAAACUGCCUGAUGGAGGGGGAUAACUACUGGAAACGGUAGCUAAUACCGCAUAACGUCGCAAGACCAAAGAGGGGGACCUUCGGGCCUCUUGCCAUCAGAUGUGCCCAGAUGGGAUUAGCUAGUAGGUGGGGUAACGGCUCACCUAGGCGACGAUCCCUAGCUGGUCUGAGAGGAUGACCAGCCACACUGGAACUGAGACACGGUCCAGACUCCUACGGGAGGCAGCAGUGGGGAAUAUUGCACAAUGGGCGCAAGCCUGAUGCAGCCAUGCCGCGUGUAUGAAGAAGGCCUUCGGGUUGUAAAGUACUUUCAGCGGGGAGGAAGGUGUUGCGGUUAAUAACCGCAGCAAUUGACGUUACCCGCAGAAGAAGCACCGGCUAACUCCGUGCCAGCAGCCGCGGUAAUACGGAGGGUGCAAGCGUUAAUCGGAAUUACUGGGCGUAAAGCGCACGCAGGCGGUCUGUCAAGUCGGAUGUGAAAUCCCCGGGCUCAACCUGGGAACUGCAUUCGAAACUGGCAGGCUAGAGUCUUGUAGAGGGGGGUAGAAUUCCAGGUGUAGCGGUGAAAUGCGUAGAGAUCUGGAGGAAUACCGGUGGCGAAGGCGGCCCCCUGGACAAAGACUGACGCUCAGGUGCGAAAGCGUGGGGAGCAAACAGGAUUAGAUACCCUGGUAGUCCACGCCGUAAACGAUGUCGACUUGGAGGUUGUGCCCUUGAGGCGUGGCUUCCGGAGCUAACGCGUUAAGUCGACCGCCUGGGGAGUACGGCCGCAAGGUUAAAACUCAAAUGAAUUGACGGGGGCCCGCACAAGCGGUGGAGCAUGUGGUUUAAUUCGAUGCAACGCGAAGAACCUUACCUACUCUUGACAUCCAGAGAACUUUCCAGAGAUGGAUUGGUGCCUUCGGGAACUCUGAGACAGGUGCUGCAUGGCUGUCGUCAGCUCGUGUUGUGAAAUGUUGGGUUAAGUCCCGCAACGAGCGCAACCCUUAUCCUUUGUUGCCAGCGGUCCGGCCGGGAACUCAAAGGAGACUGCCAGUGAUAAACUGGAGGAAGGUGGGGAUGACGUCAAGUCAUCAUGGCCCUUACGAGUAGGGCUACACACGUGCUACAAUGGCGCAUACAAAGAGAAGCGAACUCGCGAGAGCAAGCGGACCUCAUAAAGUGCGUCGUAGUCCGGAUUGGAGUCUGCAACUCGACUCCAUGAAGUCGGAAUCGCUAGUAAUCGUAGAUCAGAAUGCUACGGUGAAUACGUUCCCGGGCCUUGUACACACCGCCCGUCACACCAUGGGAGUGGGUUGCAAAAGAAGUAGGUAGCUUAACCUUCGGGAGGGCGCUU
rnacentral:rRNA from 1 species